AUCCAGCUGCUGCUCCAGUACUUCUACAAGCCCCUCUCAUACCAGUUUAUGCCACAGGGGGUCUCACAACAGACUUCUUUUGCUGAGGUCUCCUCAGUGAGUGGAUGGCCUUCAUGACUGGGACUCCAGUAAGCUGGCUCACAGCAGAUCUGCACAUGAAAAUCAGAAACACUGGAAAAGACGAACAUCACAGAGAUGGACUGAACAUACUACCGAAUGUAGCAUUCCAGAGACAGGCACGACAUGGUCCUGUUCUGUUGCCCAGGCUGGAGUGCAGCGCUGCAAUCUCUGCUGACUGCAGCCUCUACCUCCGGGGGUCACGUGAUUCUCCCACCUCAGCCUCCCAAGUAGCUGGACUACAGAUGCUGACAAAUCCUCAACCGUAUGUCAGAAUCCAUGUUAGAUACUAG
rnacentral:lncRNA from 13 species